rnacentral:rRNA from 1 species
UACGUAGGGGGCUAGCGUUGUCCGGAAUCAUUGGGCGUAAAGCGCGUGUAGGCGGCCCGGUAAGUCCGCUGUGAAAGUCCAGGGCUCAACCCUGGGAUGCCGGUGGAUACUGUCGGGCUCGAGUCCGGAAGAGGCGAGUGGAAUUCCUGGUGUAGCGGUGAAAUGCGCAGAUAUCAGGAAGAACACCAAUGGCGAAAGCAGCUCUCUGGGACGGUACUGACGCUGAGACGCGAAAGCGUGGGGAGCGAACAGG